UACGUAGGGCGCAAGCGUUGUCCGGAAUUAUUGGGCGUAAAGAGCUCGUAGGCGGUUUGUCGCGUCGGGAGUGAAAUCCACUGGCUUAACUGGUGGCUUGCUUUCGAUACGGGCAGACUGGAGGUAUGCAGGGGAGAACGGAAUUCCUGGUGUAGCGGUGAAAUGCGCAGAUAUCAGGAGGAACACCGGUGGCGAAGGCGGUUCUCUGGGCAUGUCCUGACGCUGAGGAGCGAAAGUGUGGGGAGCAAACAGG
rnacentral:rRNA from 1 species